rnacentral:tRNA from 1 species
GGGAUCGUAGCUCACAGGUAGAGCGGUCGGACUGUUAACCCGACUGGUGUUGGUUCGAGUCCAACCGAUCCCG